rnacentral:rRNA from 1 species
GACGAACGCUGGCGGCGUGCUUAACACAUGCAAGUCGAGCGGUAAGGCCCUUUCGGGGGUACGACGAGCGGCGAACGGGUGAGUAACACGUGGGUGACCUGCCCUCAGCUCUGGGAUAAGCCUGGGAAACCGGGUCUAAUACUGGAUAUGACUCCAUGACGCAUGUUGUGGGGUGGAAAGCCUUGUGUGGCUGAGGAUGGGCCCGCGGCCUAUCAGCUUGUUGGUGGGGUGAGGCCUACCAAGGCGACGACGGGUAGCCGGCCUGAGAGGGCGGACCGGCCACACUGGGACUGAGACACGGCCCAGACUCCUACGGGAGGGCAGCAGUGGGGAAUCUUGCGCAAUGGGCGAAAGCCUGACGCAGCGACGCCGCGUGAGGGAUGACGGCCUCGGUUGUAAC